UACGUAGGUGGCAAGCGUUGUCCGGAUUUAUUGGGCGUAAAGGGAGCGCAGGUGGUUUCUUAAGUCUGAUGUGAAAGCCCACGGCUUAACCGUGGAGGGUCAUUGGAAACUGGUCGACUUGAGUGCAGAAGAGGGAAGUGGAAUUCCAUGUGUAGCGGUGAAAUGCGUAGAGAUAUGGAGGAACACCAGUGGCGAAGGCGGCUUUCUGGUCUAACCCUGACGCUGAGGCGCGAAAGCGUGGGGAGCAAACAGGAUUAGAUACCCGGGUAGUCCCUGA
rnacentral:rRNA from 1 species